CUCAACCCCUUGAGGGACGCCACCCGCCCCGGCUGGCCGCGAAAUCCAGGGGUCCCUCCUGCUUUGCUUUGUCCGGGACGGGACUCAGGUGCUCAGAUUGUGGACGGAGAGGCGGCUCCGCGCGUGGCCAACGCUAGGUGGCGCCCGAGAACCAGGCCUGCCCUGCUCCAGGGAGUCCCGGGGUCCGGGCGGGUCCUGUGGUCCCCGGGUCCGGUCAGCUGCUGGGCCUCAGAGCCUCGAGCCUCGAGUGCCCCUGUUUUCUCGCCUCUUUCGCAGGGCGGUGGGGGCGGAUUACGGGCAAUAACCUCUCAAGACCUAGCCCUUGCCUAGCCCCUGGAGACGAAGGAGUCCACGUUACCUCCCUGCCUCUGGCCUUCUCUCACUAGUUAGCUUCCUUUUCCUGGCACUCGGGAUCCAUUCCAGGUGCCACAAGGAGGUCCUCCACACUGGAGAGGAGCAGACACAAAGGCUAAGUCCUACUGCAAAAAUUCGGGGCCAUGUUUCUUCACUGAGAAGUCUUCCCAAGACCCCCAGGUGCCUUUUCUAGAAAAGAGACCCAUGUUCCCACAAGACCUUCAGUGCAGCACAGACCAUCACUGCCUAACCUCCUGAAAGGUCCCUAUGGCUCAGGAGGAAAGGACGCCCACGUCAACGAAUAGUGCCCUCACUGGUACCAGGUUCUAGCAGAGAACCAACUAGAAGCUUGAUCCCCGUGAAGCAAUGAGCAGGGACUGGGGGGCCGCAUCUUCACUUCGCUUCACAGAGCCUACAAGAGGAUCCUGUGCUCUGAAGGUGUUCAUAAAUACUGCACUCACCAGGAAAAACUUUUUUAGGGGAAAAGCCUCUACACUUGAGCAGAUCCGCAGUCUGGCUCCAGAGGAGGUGUUGUGAACCCCCGAGAUACGUACCAAGGGCAUGUACGUGUCUUGGGGAGAGGCUCUGUGACUUUAAACUGAUUCUGAAAUGGGUUUGUGACUUCCCUUGAUACGGACACCCCAGAACUCUGCAAGGAGAGGCUAUGUGGGCACAUUUUUUCAGAAAACCUACUUCAUUUUCUCAGCCAAUUCCUUCUCUUCACAUUUUGCAGGAGAAACUGUUGAGAGGGCCUAAUGAAACAGGGAUAGCUGCUAGCGAAACUUGCACUGCAACCUGCCUUUUAUCCUUUUUUAAGUUCCAUGUAAAAAUAAAUGUUUUUCAACCUAA